rnacentral:rRNA from 1 species
UACGGAAGGUCCAGGCGUUAUCCGGAUUUAUUGGGUUUAAAGGGAGUGUAGGCGGUCUGUUAAGCGUGUUGUGAAAUUUAGGUGCUCAACAUUUAACUUGCAGCGCGAACUGGCGGACUUGGGUGCAGGCAACGUAUGCGGAAUUCAUGGUGUAGCGGUGAAAUGCUUAGAUAUCAUGACGAACUCCGAUUGCGAAGGCAGCGUACGGGAGUGUUACUGACGCUUAAGCUCGAAGGUGCGGGUAUCGAACAGG